rnacentral:rRNA from 1 species
GCCAGACUCCUACGGGAGGCAGCAGUGGGGAAUAUUGCACAAUGGGCGAAAGCCUGAUGCAGCGACGCCGCGUGAAGGAUGAAGUAUUUCGGUAUGUAAACUUCUAUCAGCAGGGAAGAAAAUGACGGUACCUGACUAAGAAGCCCCGGCUAACUACGUGCCAGCAGCCGCGGUAAUACGUAGGGGGCAAGCGCUAUCCGGAUUUACUGGGUGUAAAGGGAGCGUAGACGGCGAUGCAAGCCAGAUGUGAAAGCCCGGGGCUCAACCCCGGGACUGCAUUUGGAACUGUGUGGCUGGAGUGUCGGAGAGGCAAGUGGAAUUCCUAGUGUAGCGGUGAAAUGCGUAGAUAUUAGGAGGAACACCAGUGGCGAAGGCGGCCUGCUGGACGAUGACUGACGUUGAGGCUCGAAAGCGUGGGGAGCAAACAGGAUUAGAUACCCGAGUA